CCCCGGUUUCCUCCAAGUUCUCACACACCCGAGCCACCUGAUCCGCGGUAAACAUCGGCAAGGGAAACAUCUUCCUUGCCUUAGUCUUCUUUCCAGGUGCGACACUCGCGCGCCAGAAAUGAUUCAGAAUGAAGAGUGAGCAGUGGAGUAUUAAGGAUCCAACAGUGGCAGACACAAUUGUGAUAAAUGGGAGCAGACAUAACAGUGGAUCCAGAGAACAAUCCCAAUCCCAGGAACGCUGGGCGUGAGGUGGGAAUAGACACGGAUUGGAUGCCAGUCCAUUGCAGGGCACCGUGUACACACAUGUUUUUGGGAGGAAAUGGGAAACCCCGGAAGAAAUCCACUAAAACUAAUAUUCCAAGGAUCAUCCACACAGACAGUAACCUGAGCUGAGGAUUGAAGCAAGGAACCCUGAGCUGUGAGGCAGGAACGCUACCCACUGGCGAUAUAGUUAUUAACUACCGAUAAAAUACAAGCAUUGUAACUUACAGGGAUUUACAGAGGUACAGCUGAAAGCCAAACAAUAUUGUAUUCUAGUAUCUUCAUAGUCUAUUCCAUGUUGCUCUACUGCCCCCUAUUGGUCCUCU